rnacentral:rRNA from 1 species
GAUGAACGCUGGCGGCGUGCUUAACACAUGCAAGUCGAACGGGAUCCAAGGGGUGCUUGCACUUUUUGGUGAGAGUGGCGAACGGGUGAGUAACACGUGAGUAACCUGUCCUUUUCUUUGGGAUAAGCAUUCGAAAGGGUGUUUAAUACCUUAUGUUCUGUCUGCCUCGCAUGGGGUGGGUGGGAAAGGCUUUGGCCGGAUUUGGGUGGGCUCGCGGUCUAUCAGCUUGUUGGUGGGGUGAUGGCUUACCAAGGCUUUGACGGGUAGCCGGCCUGAGAGGGUGGUAGGUCACGUCGGGACUGAGAUACGGCCCGGAAUGCUGCGGGAGGCAGCGGUGGGGAAUAUUGCAGAAUGGGCGAAAGCCUGAUGCAGCGACGCCGCGUGGGGGAUGGAGGCGUUCGGGUUGUAAACUUCUUUUGCUCUGAACAAGGCAUGCCAGUGGGUGUGUGGAGUGUAGGGGUUGAGUAGCGCCGGCUAACUACGUG